rnacentral:rRNA from 1 species
ACACUCCUCCGGGAGGCAGCAGUGGGGAAUUUUGGACAAUGGGCGAAAGCCUGAUCCAGCAAUGCCGCGUGCAGGAUGAAGGCCUUCGGGUUGUAAACUGCUUUUGUACGGAACGAAAAAGCUCCUUCUAAUACAGGGGGCCCAUGACGGUACCGUAAGAAUAAGCACCGGCUAACUACGUGCCAGCAGCCGCGGUAAUACGUAGGGUGCGAGCGUUAAUCGGAAUUACUGGGCGUAAAGCGUGCGCAGGCGGUUAUGUAAGACAGAUGUGAAAUCCCCGGGCUCAACCUGGGAACUGCAUUUGUGACUGCAUGGCUAGAGUACGGUAGAGGGGGAUGGAAUUCCGCGUGUAGCAGUGAAAUGCGUAGAUAUGCGGAGGAACACCGAUGGCGAAGGCAAUCCCCUGGACCUGUACUGACGCUCAUGCACGAAAGCGUGGGGAGCAAACAGGAUUAGAAACCCUUGUAGUCCC